CUGGAUGAAGUACUGGUAAAGCCC
rnacentral:piRNA from 1 species